rnacentral:rRNA from 1 species
UUUGCCUACGGGGGGCAGCAGUGGGGAAUAUUGCACAAUGGGGGAAACCCUGAUGCAGCGACGCCGCGUGAGUGAAGAAGUAUCUCGGUACGUAAAGCUCUAUCAGCAGGAAAGAAAAUGACGGUACCUGACUAAGAAGCCCCGGCUAACUACGUGCCAGCAGCCGCGGUAAUACGUAGGGGGCAAGCGUUAUCCGGAUUUACUGGGUGUAAAGGGAGCGUAGACGGCGCUGCA